rnacentral:rRNA from 1 species
AGAGUUUGAUCAUGGCUCAGGACGAACGCUGGCGGCGUGCCUAACACAUGCAAGUCGAGCGGAGGUAUAUACGAAGAAGUUUUCGGACGGAAUUGUAUAUACUUUAGCGGCGGACGGGUGAGUAACGCGUGAGCAACCUGCCUUUCACAGGGGGAUAAGGCGGCGAAAGCCGCUCUAAUACCGCAUGAGACCACAGUGGUGAUGCUACAGGGGUCAAAGGAGCAAUCCGGUGAAAGAGGGGCUCGCGUCCGAUUAGGUAGUUGGUGGGGUAAUGGCCCACCAAGCCCGUGAUCGGUAGCCGGCCUGAGAGGGUGAACGGCCACAUUGGAACUGAGACACGGUCCAAACUCCUACGGGAGGCAGCAGUGGGGAAUAUUGGGCAAUGGGGGGAACCCUGACCCAGCAACGCCGCGUGAGGGAAGAAGGUUUUCGGAUUGUAAACCUCUGUUCUUGGGGAAGAGUGAAAGACGGUACCCAAGGAGGAAGCCCCGGCUAACUACGUGCCAGCAGCCGCGGUAAUACGUAGGGGGCGAGCGUUGUCCGGAAUGAUUGGGCGUAAAGGGCGCGUAGGCGGCUUUGCAAGUCAGUAGUGGAAGUCCAUUUUUCAAGGAUGGAAGUGCUACAGAAACUGCGGAGCUUGAGUGCAGGAGAGGUUAUCGGAAUUCCCGGCGUAGCGGUGAAAUGCGUAGAGAUCGGGAGGAACACCAGUGGCGAAGGCGGGUAACUGGACUGCAACUGACGCUGAGGCGCGAAAGUGUGGGGAGCAAACAGGAUUAGAUACCCUGGUAGUCCACACUGUAAACGAUGAAUGCUAGGUGUAGGAGGUAUCGACCCCUUCUGUGCCGCAGUAAACACAGUAAGCAUUCCGCCUGGGGAGUACGGUCGCAAGAUUAAAACUCAAAGGAAUUGGCGGGGGCCCGCACAAGCAGCGGAGCAUGUGGUUUAAUUCGAAGCACGCGA